GAUUCCUACGGGGGGCAGCAGUGGGGAAUAUUGGGCAAUGGGCGCAAGCCUGACCCAGCAACGCCGCGUGAAGGAAGAAGGCUUUCGGGUUGUAAACUUCUUUUCUGAGGGACGAAGAAAGUGACGGUACCUCAGGAAUAAGCCACGGCUAACUACGUGCCAGCAGCCGCGGUAAUACGUAGGUGGCAAGCGUUAUCCGGAUUUAUUGGGUGUAAAGGGCGUGUAGGCGGGAAAGCAAGUCAGAUGUGAAAAC
rnacentral:rRNA from 1 species